AUAUUGAGUUUUAUUAUCAAUAUGAAAAAACAACAACCUUAUUGACAUGCAGGGAAUUGGGAAAGAAGAGAGAACAGUAAGCUAAUGUCGUAAAUACAUAAUUCAUUGUUUCUAGCAAUUAUUUGCUUGGACAAACGGUAGCCUGUGGGGAGUUUGUCUUUGCCAAUUGUUUCCUUAAGAUACGAUACAAACGGUAGCGCUCCUCGAAUGUGGGGGGGAGUAUGUCUUGGUAGAGACGACCACUCAACUGCCAAAGGCAAAUCAUCAUAGAGUGAGCUAAAGAGAGGAGAAAAUAAAAUUAGAAAAGAAAAAGAGAGAGAGAGAGAGAGAUUUACUCACACAGGAUCCUGGAGGAGCAUAGCGACGCUUACGCUUAAUGGGUUCCCCAAGUUUCAAUUCAAUUCCUGUAAGCAGGGAAAAAAUAAAAAAUAUGGAGGCGAGAUUCAACAGACCCAAAGGAUAAACAAAGAACACGAAAAUAUCUAACCCCAGAAUUCCUUCAUUCUCCCGUCGAGGUUAUAGAGAUACUCGUCUCAUAUAAAUACCUACCAUAAUGACCUAGCUCUAAUUCGAUAAUUGAGUUGGGUUAAAAGCCCAUCGUAACAGUAACCCAAACAAAG
rnacentral:lncRNA from 1 species